rnacentral:rRNA from 1 species
UACAGAGGUCUCAAGCGUUGUUCGGAUUCAUUGGGCGUAAAGGGUGCGUAGGUGGCGCGCUAAGUCAGGUGUGAAAUCUCGGGGCUUAACUCCGAAACUGCAUUUGAUACUGGCGUGCUUGAGGACUGGAGAGGAGACUGGAAUUCAUGGUGUAGCAGUGAAAUGCGUAGAGAUCAUGAGGAAGACCAGUGGCGAAGGCGGGUCUCUGGACAGUUCCUGACACUGAGGCACGAAGGCCAGGGGAGCAUACGGG